AAUCAGUGUAGACAUCUUUGAGAAAUCGUAGCGCGUAUUAAAUUUCUGAAUACCUUCCGAAUCGUAAACUGAAUACCACUAAAACUGAAAUAAGUUUAUUUGGUUAUCGACUAUCGAAAUCUGCAAAGCCGAAAAACCUGAUCAAUUUAGGUGAAAUAGACACCUAUACUAAUCACCCUAUAUCUUAUAAACCGGAAGUCGGACCUGAUUAAAAAAUUUUAUUUGAAUCUUAGAUCGGUUAAGCCAUCUACGAGAAAAAUGAGUUGCAUUAUUUUAAUUUCGUUUCACUGUGGUUCCACAAUCAGAAGUCGGAUUCAAACGUAAUUCAGGAACCUUGUUUGAUAGCAUACGACUUUUCAUAUGAAUCUGAGUUUGUAGAACACCGUUGAGUCAUCUCCGAGAAAAUGCAGUGAAAUUAUUUGUCACACACGUAUUUGCUGAUCUCGACGAACUGAUUCGAAUGUGUGGGAUAUGGAUACGAAAUGUUUCAUAUUUGACAGCUACAUCAGUGUCAGAACGAAAACCCACCAACAUUCGACCGACGGCACGACCAGGCACUCCGAAGAAAAAUCUGAAGAAAAAGUGUUCGUGAGUGAUUUACCGACAGUUACCAUAAAUAUAGCGACCCCUCGAUAAUCAUGAAAAUAAUCUUCUUGAGCAACACUGUUUAAGUUGCUACAAGGAGCGCUACAAUAAAUAAACAAAUCAUUUGAGAAAGUUGUGAAACUUUUAUAUAAAUUUAAAUUUUGUUUCAACGUUCUUUUUAGAUUUGCGCCGACCACAAUAGUACAAUAACCAAAUCUGGUACUAGAAGUAGUGUUGCGACAGAAAGGCGUCAUCCUAUAUCAUCCACAGCUACCCAUUAGCUCUAUCUGCAGUGUAGUUAUCUAGCUCAUCCAUGAUGAUGGUCUUUCUUUUUAGGAAUAUCCAUUCGAGUUUCCGAAACACAUCACUUUUGCUUAACAUACUGUCAACCAACCCGGAAGUUAGUACCAGUCUUCACGAAAUGAAAAUGAGACUUCAUUGAGACUGAUGAUUGGACUGAUAAAAUGUUUCGCAAUGACGGAUUGAAUGACUGCAAAACUUAACACCAUUUAAAAACUCAUUUAUAUAUCAGAUAGUCAUUAUAGAUCCAUCAUCCAUGAAUAUUGAAUUGUCUGGAAGCCAUUUUUAAUAUGUUCGAGCACCAGCAAGCCUCAACGAAGACCUCUAUCCGAUUAAACUAAAUGAUAAUUCCACUCGAGGCAGUUUGUUUUGUUUACAUUUCCCAAGUCUCCAAUAUGCAGUAACCAAGGUUAUGGCGAUUUCGUUUUGACAUAACCAGUUACUGAGGGGUAGUUAAAUUUGCGAUACAGUUUCGAUAGACGAGUGGCAGGUCGUGUCGUCGAUUCGACGCAGCAAUCCUUGACCACGAACGAGAGGAACCAGUAACUAACAUCGACCUCUUUCAAUCACAAGCUGCUGAGGAGGUAAGACGUGACCACAAUAGACCUGACAUGCGGAGUGAUUCCCUGCAAUUCUGUCUGCAAUUUUCACAGAAUGGUAUAUGGGUAUUAUGUUCUUCCAGCAUUUAUUGCUGUAAGUAGUUUAAAUCAAUAGAUUUAUGGAAUUGCUUUCAACCCGAGAAUGCUGCCAUCGUCUGGUUUUCAUAUGCCAUAUUCGAAUAAACCAUGCUAAAAUCGGUCCGAGGCAAAAAGUCAUAAAAAAAAAUGCUGUGCACAGUUUUUUUUGGUACUUAGAGACAAUUGUAUGUUACAGUAUAAAAAAUCGUUGCUCCCAAGUAUUGCUUUGUCAUACAGCGCUCAAAACUUCUACUGCUGGAAUAGGGGGAAAAGUCGCUUAUACAAAAAUGUCGAUAUCUCCGUUAAAAAUGGACGCAUUUUAACAAUCUAUGGCUUGUCGGAUAGCUAUUACCGUGCGGAAUUUAAGUAUGGAAACAUAUUCUGUUUUCAAGGUCAAGUGCGACAGAUACUGUCAAAAAAUUUGAAAUGAAAAUUUUGAUUUAAAACUUCGUAUAACUCAAAACGUAAACAUCCAAUCUCAAAACCAUCCAAUAGCGCUCUGGGUGACGGGGAGACCUUUCAUUUGCAACUAGUUUGAUCAAAAUCGGUCCAGCCAUCUCUGAGAUCUCGACCUCUUUGUUGACAACACAAAUACAGACACACACACACGGACAUUUGAUCAGUUCGUCGAGCUGAAUCGAUUGGUACAUAACAUUAGGCCCUCCGGGCCACAGAAAAUUUUUCUAAAGUUUGAGCGAAUUCUACACCUAUUUUUCAUAUUUAUAAAAAAGGGUAAAAAGUAAAUAUUGAAUAAGAUGAUGUUUGUUUUUCGAAUUUCCGCUCAACGACAGCGGAACUAAGAUCGUAAAUUACCGCUUCAAGGCUGAAUAAAAGUAAGUUGGUACGCAUAAAAAGACUAGUAUUUCGCGAUUGAAUAAGUUUACAGAACUUUUCAUUAAACUUCAAUGUUACAGCAAUUGACGGUUACGUUUCCACAGUUCGAACAAAAUCUAGUACCUUCCUCUCGAUGAAACCCAUAAAUUCGAUGUGGUUGGCAACAUUCCACUCGAUAAUCAUCUUGGAGUAGUGGCAGCUGUUCAAAUCGUUCCAAAAGAAGACCCUAUUCAUCGAUCAAAGUGCAGCCUUUAUGUUUCGCCAAAAACAAGAGUCUUGCACGCUUUUCGGCCGGAAUUCUGUUUCAUGAUGCGGAUCGCAUGUUUACUGGAUUUGGACUGAUUUGUAUCCUUUCCUGAUGAGAAUAUUACACGCCGUUUGAAUAAUGGAGUUGUAUAGGGCUACCACCAUUGAUGCACCCCUCGCCCGGCAGCAAUUCACAUUCACUUGAAAACUACUUCAAAAUAGGAUAUUUUCAUUAUUUGUUGUAUUAGCAAACGAUAAACUCGGAUUUUCCAGGAAAAAGAACAUCAAUGAAGUAAAAUAAG